GCUGGGUGUGGUGUCUCACACCUGUAAUCCCAGCACUUUGGGAGGCCGAGGCAGGUGGAUCACUUGAGGUCAGGAGUUCGAGACCAGCCUGGCCAACAUGGUGAAACCCUGUCUCUA
rnacentral:SRP_RNA from 1 species